GACGAACGCUGGCGGCGUGCCUAAUACAUGCAAGUAGAACGCACAGUUUAUACCGUAGCUUGCUACACCAUAGACUGUGAGUUGCGAACGGGUGAGUAACGCGUAGGUAACCUGCCUGGUAGCGGGGGAUAACUAUUGGAAACGAUAGCUAAUACCGCAUAAUAUUAAUUAUUGCAUGAUAAUUGAUUGAAAGAUGCAACUGCAUCACUACCAGAUGGACCUGCGUUGUAUUAGCUAGUAGGUGAGGUAACGGCUCACCUAGGCGACGAUACAUAGCCGACCUGAGAGGGUGAUCGGCCACACUGGGACUGAGACACGGCCCAGACUCCUACGGGAGGCAGCAGUAGGGAAUCUUCGGCAAUGGACGAAAGUCUGACCGAGCAACGCCGCGUGAGUGAAGAAGGGUUUCGGAUCGUAAAGCUCUGUUGUAAGAGAAGAACGGGUGUGAGAGUGGAAAGUUCACACUGUGACGGUAGCUUACCAGAAAGAGACGGCUAACUACGUG
rnacentral:rRNA from 1 species